AUUGAACGCUGGCGGCAGGCCUAACACAUGCAAGUCGAACGAGUGGCGGACGGGUGAGUAAUGUUUGGUGAACUGCCUGAUGGAGUGGGAUAACUACUGGAAACGGUAGCUAAUACCUCAUACUAUCGGAUGGGCCCAGAUGGGAUGAGCUCGUAGGUGGGGUAAAGGCUCUCCUAGGCGACGAUCCCUAGCUGGUCUGCGAGGAUGACCAGGCACACUGGAACUGAGACAGGGGCGAGACUCCGCCGGGAGGCAGAAGUGGGGAAUAUUGCACAAUGGGCGCAAGCCUGAUGCAGCCAUGCCGGGGGUAUGAAGAAGGCCUUCGGGUUGUAAAGUACUUUCAGCGGGGAGGCGUUACCCGCAGAAGAAGCACCGGCUAACUCCGUGCCAGCAGCCGCGGUAAUUC
rnacentral:rRNA from 1 species